rnacentral:misc_RNA from 1 species
AUCAACUCAGGCUCGUAGCAGGGUAAUGUGUAUAUUUCUGUCCUUCUUUCUGUAUUUUCAUUUAAUUUUCAACUUGAAUUUUCCUGGUAAACGAAUUAUAUGCAUCUUUAGUUGCUAUCUUCGAUCCCAUGCAGCAGAUUUUCCUUGAUUAAUUACUUUUUCCCUUUGGAAUAUGUAACUAAUAUAUCACAUAAUUAGGGUUGGCUCUUCAGUCUUCAGACAAGCGUUACAGCUUUAAGCAGGAAGUUAGCAAGUAGAGUUCAUUUACUAUUGUGUGCUAUUAAGAAGAUAUUCCAAUUCCAAUCUGACAACCCUUCUAUCUUAAUUUUGG